rnacentral:rRNA from 1 species
AUUGAACGCUGGCGGCAUGCUUUACACAUGCAAGUCGAACGGCAGCGCGGGGCAACCUGGCGGCGAGUGGCGAACGGGUGAGUAAUACAUCGGAACGUACCCAGAAGUGGGGGAUAACGUAGCGAAAGUUACGCUAAUACCGCAUACGUUCUACGGAAGAAAGUAGGGGAUCUUCGGACCUCAUGCUUUUGGAGCGGCCGAUGUCUGAUUAGCUAGUUGGUAGGGUAAAGGCCUACCAAGGCGACGAUCAGUAGCUGGUCUGAGAGGACGACCAGCCACACUGGGACUGAGACAUGGCCCAGACUCCUACGGGAGGCAGCAGUGGGAAAUUUGGACAAUGGGCGCAAGCCUGAUCCAGCAAUGCUGCGUGAGUGAAGAAGGCCUUCGGGUUGUAAAGCUCUUUUGUCAGGGAAGAAACGGCUGAGGUUAAUACCUUCGGCUAAUGACGGUACCUGAAGAAUAAGCACCGGCUAACUACGUGCCAGCCGCCGCCGUAA